rnacentral:rRNA from 1 species
AUUGAACGCUGGCGGCAUGCUUUACACAUGCAAGUCGAGCGGCAGCACAGGGAGCUUGCUCCCGGGUGGCGAGUGGCGCACGGGUGAGUAAUACAUCGGAACGUGUCCUGUUGUGGGGGAUAACUGCUCGAAAGGGUGGCUAAUACCGCAUGAGACCUGAGGGUGAAAGCGGGGGAUCGCAAGACCUCGCGCAAUUGGAGCGGCCGAUGCCCGAUUAGCUAGUUGGUGAGGUAAAGGCCUACCAAGGCGACGAUCAGUAGCUGGUCUGAGAGGACGACCAGCCACACUGGGACUGAGACACGGCCCAG